rnacentral:rRNA from 1 species
UACGAGGGGGCAAGCGUUGUUCGGAAUUAUUGGGCGUAAAGGGCGCGUAGGCGGUCAGCACAAGUCAGUUGUGAAAUCUCCGGGCUUAACUCGGAAAGGUCAACUGAUACUGUGCGACUAGAGUGCGGAAGGGGCAACUGGAAUUCUCGGUGUAGCGGUGAAAUGCGUAGAUAUCGAGAGGAACACCUGCGGCGAAGGCGGGUUGCUGGGCCGACACUGACGCUGAUGCGCGAAAGCCAGGGAGCGAACGGG